GGGAGGGACAGCGACGGCUUGACCCUGCUGACAGGGACGCCGCUCGUCAGCAGCUCCUGAGCUGGGCUGGAAGCUGGGGGGUGGGAGGUGGCUGCAGAGUAGCGGAUGACCUGGCUGACCCUGACUAUUGACUGGCCUCUUGCACUGGAACAGUAGGGAGCCUGGUGUUCAGAUGCUCAGAAUUCCCCUGUGAGGAGUGAUGGAGCACCUUCCAGUUGGCCUCCUGUCCUGAGGACGGGAAGCUCCUCGGGGCAGAGGAGUCCUAGUGGUGGGUUCGCCAAAGAGGAGAGAGGCUCACGGCCUGUCGUUCCUGCUUUCUGCGGGACAGGUUGAAUGAGCUGGCGUCUCCUCCAUGAUGAACCGCCACCAGAAGGUCUCACGCUGAGAAGGGGACCCCUCGCACGUGAUGGCACUUGGAACCCACUUUCUGGGCAACUCAGUGGGAGGAGCUCCGUAUUUUAACAAGUUAUUUGUGUCUAGUUUCUGGCAUGAAGCUGGGGGCUUCCUCCUCAAGGUGCCGGGCUGGGCUCUAGGCUGGUGUCCUUCCAGAACAGAGGAGAGGGAGACAUGUUUCAUACAGGCCAGGCUCACAGGACAAACAGGACCCGCCGGGAGGCUUGGAACCACACAGGCACCCUGUGAACAAGAGCAGAUUCAAGCUUGCCCGCCUGACUCGGGGCUUUGCAAUCGAUUCAACAGCAGAGUUAAAUCUGAACCCCACAUCUUGCCUUGCUUUGAAGUGAGGAAUGCACUCAUGGGUUUCCUUCCCCUGAUUGCACCCUCAGACAAAGCGAGCCCAGAGCAGUUAGGUACCCCCACUUGGAGCCCGAGCCCCAGGAGCUGAUGACAGUGCUUGAGGAUUUUCCCAACGAUGUUUUUCACUCACUCUCCACUUUCUAGAGGGAACUGGCAGGUUCAGUAUUCAAGUCCCCGAUUUUCUCCAGACCUUGGACCCCAUUGUAUCCCACUGUCUGUGGGAGAGUCCCUCCUGGAGAAGUCACAAACCCUCAAACUCCAUUCCCUGUGUUCAACCCCAAAUCUUCCUCCCUCCUGAGUGAAGCCAGGAGGGACCCCAUGUUGCCUGCCAUUGCCCUCUGAUACGUCACCAAAUCAGGCUGCCGUUCUGGCCACCUCCUGAAUCUGUCUCAGCCUCUUCACAUCAAGUGAUGGUCACACCAAAGCCUGGGGCACCGGAGGGCAGGCUCUUACCCUCAGAGGGCCACUGCUCCCCUCAUUGCUUAACUGGAYUGUUCUGUAAAAUGGUGCCUAAAUAAUAAAUAAAAGGUUUGAAGAACA
rnacentral:lncRNA from 1 species